AAAGCAGAAGUAAGGGUGCUAUGGAAAAUGUCAAAAGCUGACUUAAAUAGGGAGUGAGGGAAGAAUACUUUACCUUCAAUUUUGCAGCGACUGCAUCCUCAGGAAAUAUAGCUUCUGCGGUUUGUCCUUCAGGUAAGUAGAGUCCAGUACUCACCCAGGAAUGUCUGUUAUCUGAUAAGAACCAUGGGAAAGGUUGAGAUCUUCCCAUCCCCAUGGCUCCACAUUGGUGGAGAAUUCCCGUAAUCGCUUCCAGAGCUAGUGGAUCUCCCGUGCACACCUCAACCCAGCCAGACUGCCCUAACUGAGGCCUCCCAUACCUCACUUACAAUUCCUGGUCUCCAUCUCCUUAAAAGUUUAUGAGAAAGAAUGACGAUGUGGUUUGGUUCUGUGUCUCCACCCAAAGCUCAUCUUAAAUUGUAAUCCCCAUGUGUCAAGGGAGGAACCUGGUGGGAGGUGAUGGGAUUAUGGGGGAUGGUUUCCCCAUGCUGUUCUUGUGAUAGUGAGUGAGUCUCCUGAGAUCCGAUGGUGUAAAAAGUGGCAGUUCUUCCUCUGCUUGCACUUCCCUUCUCCCUCUUGCUGCCUUGGGGAAGAAGGGGCCCACUUCCCCUUUGCCUUCUGCCAUAAUUGUGAGUUUCCUGAGGCCUCCCCAGCCAUGCAGAACUGAGUCAACUAAACCUCUUUCCUUUACAGAUUACACAGUAUCAGGCUUUUAUUUAUAGCAGUGGGAAAAUGGACUAAUACAAAUGGCCUUCAUGAGGAAGAGGGUCCCUAGAAUGCCGCUGAAGUUAUUCAGUCCACCACUUCUGCAAUCCUACACUUCCGUAUCCUCUCUCACCAGUCUAUACCUUCACUGAUCUCAAUGCUGAUUGGAGAUUCUGUGAAACAGACAGAAGAGGGAGUCCAAUCAUGAAGCAGCAAGGAGCUGUCAGUUCCUGAUUUGACCAUUUCUUAUGCCAAGGAUAUCAGACAGAGUGAUCCUGCUCCUCUGUGGAAGAAGUUGCUAUAAGAUUUCCUCUGGCUUCAUCACCACCCUGCUGCCCCACUUUCCAUUCAGACAUACCCUCACCCAGGGGUCCCACUCCAUGCCUGGGGAAGGAAAUCCCUGAAUUACGGACAUAGACUGUAACAUGUUGCAGUCUCCCUGCUGUCCCUGGACUACGUUGCCUUAGAUUUCAUUCAUUUACUCCAUGUUUAUUUAGCACUUACUGUAAGCCAGAUAUUGCACUAUAUGCUAGUGAUCCGGUGGUAAGCAAAAUAGACACGAUUCUUGUUUCCCAUGAAUUUUAUAGUUGUUUUCUCCACUUAUCCACCAUCUCUUUCUAACUAUUUAGAACUGGGAGGCACAAUAGCAAAUAAAACAGAAAAAUAACCUGUUCUGAAGGCAUUUAAUACUCAGUGCCUAGCACAGAAAAACCAGAAGAUGUUGUCCCUUAUCCAUAGCAUGUAAGAUUUAGAAUUACAUCGGCUACUUGUAACUCUUCCAUUACACAGUGAUCAAUUUCUUCUCUGCUAGACUGAAAGCUCCUUGAAAAUGGGGAUAUAGGACUGACAUUUAACAUGCUUCAGACUCCUUUUAG
rnacentral:lncRNA from 1 species